AACGCACCUUGCGCUCCAUGGUAUUCCGUGGAGCAUGCCUGUUUGAGUGUCAUGAAUACUUCAACCCUCCUCUUUCUUAAUGAUUGAAGAGGUGUUUGGUUUCUGAGCGCUGCUGGCCUUUAGGGUCUAGCUCGUUCGUAAUGCAUUAGCAUCCGCAAUCGAACUUCGGAUUGACUUGGCGUAAUAGACUAUUCGCUGAGGAAUUCUAGUCUUCGGACUAGAGCCGGGUUGGGUUAAAGGAAGCUUCUAAUCAGAAUGUCUACAUUUUAAGAUUAGAUCUCAAAUCAGGUAGGACUACCCGCUGAACUUAA
rnacentral:misc_RNA from 1 species